AUACGGAGGAUCCGAGCGUUAUCCGGAUUUAUUGGGUUUAAAGGGUGUGCAGGCGGCCAUUUAAGUCAGCGGUUAAAUCGUGGGGCUCAACCCCAUUCUGCCGUUGAUACUGGGUGGCUUGAUUGCGGUCGAGGUUGGCGGAAUUCGUUGUGUAGCGGUGAAAUGCAUAGAUAUGACGAAGAACACCGAUUGCGUAGGCAGCUGACCAGACCGCAAAUGACGCUCAUGCACGAAAGUGCGGGGAUCGAACAGGAUUAGAUACCCUGGUAGUCCGCACAGUAAACGAUGAAUACUUGUUUUCGGCGAUAUAAUGUCGGAGGCAAAGCGAAAGCGAUAAGUAUUCCACCUGGGGAGUACGCCGGCAACGGUGAAACUCAAAUGAAUUGACGGGG
rnacentral:rRNA from 1 species